GUUAUGUUUUGACAGAAUGAAAUGAAAAAAAGCCGUCAAACUCAUAAUUAUAAGUUGGAUAUUUAUUUUUUUGUGUACGGAACUAAUAUAAAAUAACAUUAUCUGGUUGGUGUUAGACCGACGGACCGGCAUAAGAACCAACAACGACACUGAAGGCUGCAAACCAGUGAUAAAAGACUUCUGACAAAAGAUCAGAUCGCAGAGUUUCAUAUUUCCGUUCCAAAAUUAAUGUUUUAUGGCUAAAACCGUGACCACUGUGGGGAAACGGACACCGGAUAUAGCUCAAAAAGUGAUAAAUCGAUAAACGUUUGAUUUUGACACAUGAAAAGUUUUCUAUCAUUUUUUUUGUAUUUUAAGGACAAAAGAUCAGAUCGCAGAUUUUCAUAUUUCCGUUCCAAAAUUAAUGUUUUAUGGCUAUGUUUUAUUGUUACGGAGAUAUUCAUACCUUUUGAUGCCCUGGCGGUCUACUGGGGAUAGAUGAAGCAAAUAAAUAACUGCACAGGGGAUAGCUAUUAAGUGGACUGAGGAUAGUAACGAUGUAAUUAGAAUUACGAGACUGUUAUAAUGAUAACGGCCAUUUACCUAUACGCGAGCUCGAGGGAAAUUGUUUGAUGUUGUCCAUAUCGAGGGAUGAGAACAAAAAAAUGUUGCCGUUUUUUGUAUCUGUAUGCACUUAAAACUGAUUCAUUAAUAUAGAUUAGUUAACCAUGAUGUGUUUUUCACAAGCAUCAACGUUCGAGUCGCAAAUAUCUAAAUAUUUUAAAUACGCCGGUAAUCUGAUUUAUUGAGGAACACAAAACAUAUGGACGUAGAAUUUAUGUGGUGUUUGCUAUUCAUAUAUAUAGUAUUGGUUUAUAAAUCAAGUAGGUACGUUUUUGCACACAGAAAGUCAUCGGUAGGGAUUAAUAUAUGAUGAUCAAAUGUGGAACACGUGAAGCUUUUUUCUAAGCUUGGGUCGAUGUUACUAUUACUUAGAACAAAAUAAUGGUCUCUACUCGUUCACUUCAGUGAGAAAGUAUGUGUUGUGACUAACCCUGAUAUUUAAGCAGCUUGCAUAUAUACGUUCAUUUAGGAGGGCAUGGAUCAAACUCAUUGUUAACUAAAGUUUGCUUAAUAAUUUCUCAUAAAAUUGUACUCUCACUUUUUGCAGAUUAUUUGAAAGUUCGAAAUAUACAUACAUGUAUAUUGUAUAUUAACAGUGACUGUUACGAUCAAUUUUUGUCCCAUUUUACAUGUUAUCACUAGGACACGUUUCUCAACUUUGAAACUAUCCCCAGUGCAUAAUACGGCUAUCCCCAGUACAGUACUGUGAACAUUUCUAAGUUUAAAAGUUACAUUGCCAGUUCUUACAAUAAAUAUAGUUGAGAUUAUGCUUGUGAAAUCCUUCGAUUCAGAUUUUUUAUUUAUUCGAUAUAUUUCCUAAAAAUAACAAUACUUGUCGAAACUCUGUUAAUUUUGAGGUGAUCAUCUCAGAUUUGAAGAAACAUUUUUCGAGGUCUGCUAAAUCGUAAGCACUUUAAAGUAUACCAUAGGCCAAAUUUAGCAUUCAGCUAUUACAUGCCGGGUAAUCAUUGGAGCCAUAACAUUUUGUUAUGUGUUUAAAAUACCCCAACGCGUCUUCCGUUAUAGUGCCAAUGAGUGAAAUAUGGAUGUAAACAGUGAGUAUGGUUUUUUUUUUCAU